rnacentral:rRNA from 1 species
UACGUAGGGGGCUAGCGUUGUCCGGAUUUAUUGGGCGUAAAGAGCGUGUAGGCGGCCAGAUAGGUCUGCUGUGAAAACUCGAGGCUCAACCUCGAGAUGUCGGCGGAAACCAUUUGGCUAGAGUCCGGAAGAGGAAAGUGGAAUUCCUGGUGUAGCGGUGAAAUGCGCAGAUAUCAGGAAGAACACCCGUGGCGAAGGCGACUUACUGGACACAUAUUGACGCUGAGGUGCGAAAGCGUGGGGAGCAAACAGG